GAAUUUAGAGUUUAACAUUGCAUGGGGUGAGUUUGGGGCUUGGACAUAGAUUAGUAUUUAAUGUUAAGUUAGUAUUUUUUAUGAAGGCUUUAGAUUAUAGACAGAGACAUGGACUGGUAACAUUAUCGUCUUGCAUGUUUUGUUUACAUUAAUAAAUUGUAGCGAUUUUACAGAAAACAUAGAAAUUUAGGACUAACAUUGUGUAAUUUAUUUCUUUUCAGGUACCCCCGCCAGAAGGACGGAAGCAUAGAGUCGCUGAGGAGCCUAAAUAGCCAUUACAGGUGAGUUUUUGUUGUGUGUUGGCUGUGGACUGUUGUGGCCGCAGGGAGUGGGCCACUUGCAACAAGUAUGUCCGGCUGGAGUUGCAGGUGAGUUAUUCUUGGUGGCAGCAUCCAGCGCCGCCGUCAUUUGGUGAAGAUCCGUUAUGUCGUCAGUGGCAGAUUUAUGCAAUUGUUUAAUGAGAUUGUUUGUGUUGCAGAUGCAAGUUGCCGAUCGUCAGGAAGAGGAGUUGCGCAGACAAAUCCCACGCAGCUGUCGUUGCAUUUUUAUUGAGCUGCUGGCGUUAUGGUGGUGGAGUGCUCUCUAGUGAGAAGUCGUCAGUGCGGAUUGAAGCUCGAUCUAUCACCGAGGAGAGCCAGGUGCGCCGCGUCUUGUGGCCGUAGCAUCAGGAUUGGCAGCUAGUGGCCGCCGGUUCGAGAUUUGUUGCAGAGGGCGGCCGCAACAAGAAUGGCAUGGAAAUGGAUGUAAAAAUAGAAUUUGGUACAUUGAGUGGAAUUUAAUUUAAGGUACUUAAGGAGGAAGCUAGUCUGGGGUACAUUUUGUAAGAGCUAGUUUGGAGGACCUUUGUUAUUGUGCUAUUGCAGCUGGAAUGCCGCGGUUUUGGAGUCAUCAAGUUGCAAUUAGAUAAGUAUUAUAUUUUAAAUAUAUAUUUCCCAGUAAUAGCUUGUGUUCCCUUGUUUAAAUAGUUAGAGUCUUUGAAGCU